CCUUCUUUCCUUAGUAGAUCUGAAGCGAGAUGGAGGAUAUUUCUGUUUUCUGAUUAGAUUCAACAGAGAAAUCCAAACACCUCUCUGUGAAGUGUUUUCAGAGUUUAUCCCCUGCUGAAAGUCUCCUCUAAGAACCUGAAAAUACCAACCCAAAGAAAUACUUGCUUUUGCAUGGUCUCCACUGUUGAAGCUGGAAACCUACUGCAAGUUGUGGCCAUCCUGCAGACGGCUUCUGCACCUUGGAUGAACAUUUGACUGUGGGAGAAAAAUCACAUUUCAGUUCUUUGCUGUUGCCCAGCCAACACCUGAGGGAUCACGAACAAACCUGGGAGUGUCAACUGGACUUGUAUUCCAGUGAGUGGAGAGUCAGAAGUGGUGUUGAACCCACCUUAAAAUGAGAAGAGUCACCUUCUGUAGGUCGCUAAAAGCCUGGCUUCAAAAUGCCUUAAUUUAGACAACAGGAAUUAAUUCCCUAAUGUUUAACAUGAAUCUUCCUCACUGCAGUUUAAGACU